AAAAGGCUAGGAGGAGCAUUAAAAUACAAGCUACAAGGGCAUUAACAAUAAGUCGAUCUUGCUGGUAAGGUUAAGUUUAGAGAGAAGAGAACAUAAUAUGUGUGUGAAAAGAGAGUAAGUGAAGGAGAGAGGAGUGUAUCUACUCAAACAAAAUCCAGACUAUCAAUCAAAAUCUUGGAAAGGUGAGUAGGGACUCUAUUGUUGGAGGGAGACGGGCGACAAAAGAGAGUAAUAGACAACAAGGGAGAAAUGGAAGCUCGCAAACCUCGGGAGGAUGACACUGCAAGAAGCAAGCGUCAACUAGAACUUUGGACCUACUGCUUUAGGUUCGGGUUGCAAGCACUUAUCAGGUUAGAAGGGGGCACGCUGAGCAGAUUAGAGGGGAGCACACGUGGUAGAUUACUACAGCAAUGGAGUCAACAAUGGAGGGUAAGGCCAUGCUCUUGGGAUGGCUUGCAAAGGUACAUUGGAUUCGGGAGCAAAGGGGAUUGCUUUUGUCAGAUACGCUCUGCCUAGGUUGAUGCUGAGUAUAUCGAACCGAUUCUUAUGGAGAGGGCUACCGGGCCAAAGUUAUCACGUUGGAGUAUGCAUCCAGGUUAAACUUCCAAGCUUAUCUCUAGAGGUUUCCAAUUGAGGUGCAGCAAGCCGGGAAUUGUCUUAUUAACCAUAUUGAAAUAGAGCUCAAUGAGUCGGUGGUGUCUAGGGGUGCUGUGGAUGGAAGAACCGAAGUUGAACAAGGAGGGGAAAGAGAGAUUGGAAGUAGAGAGGUAGAAGGGGUGGAGGUGAGAAAAAACAUGGAUGCUGCCGAAGCUUCUGCCAAGUCUUCUGAGGAGGAGCCGAAGUCCUCCAAUGAAACCAUGACGAGCUUAGAAUUCUUAGCCUUUUGCUGUCGAACACAACCACGGUAUUGAGAGCAGUUACGGUAUUGGAACGCUCACCUCGUCAAUGCGGCACUUCCUUCGAGAUCACGACCAACUCAUCACAAUAAACAUCAAGAUCUUGAGGACCCCUCGACCCGCUAUUCCAAGGUAGCGUCAUCAAUUUAGCGAUAUAUUACAGUGGCUAGAAGAUUAUGUCAUCAAAUCAAUCGUGGCAACAGGGUUUAGAGGCAUAUACACCGAUCUGGUAUAUACGCGAAUCACUUCCAACUCUACCACCCCAGAUACACCCCCGGUACAUUAGGACCAGAGAUAUGUACACUGAUCUGGCAUAUAUCCGAAUCACUUCCAAGGCUACCGCCGUGGAAACAACCGGGGAUUCACAAGGGUGUUCUACAGAAGAGCUCGGGAGAUGAAGGUGCCCUUGCAACCCAUUGUCAGCCCAAACGUAAGGCUAUACCGAAAAAGCGGAAAAUAAUAUGAGUAUUUGCAGUUUCGGCAAGUGGAGACGUAUCAUGUGAAAAUACGCUGUAAUGAGCAAAAUUCCACUGUUACAAUAUGGAUUCAAAUGGAGCGCAUGAGAGUCCAUGUUUCCCAUCUGGACUUGGUGUAGCUUAGUUGGCAGCCUGGAGAUACCAGUGUUUUUUUAGUUACAAUAAGAGCACAUGAUUACUGGUCUCAAUAUUUUUGUAUCCAGUUCCAUUCAGUGAUUAGGUUUACAUUCCUGAACUAGAAGUCGAUUGACAGAGCGACCACUUAGGAAUGUACUAGUUUCGUAAGCUUCUGUUGGUUAUGUUGCUUCAUAGUGUGACAUGGCUGCAUCUCAAAGCUCCAGCACUUGUGUCAAGGGAAAUUAAGUAGCGACCUAAGAAUAAUAUGUGCAGCGGUACUGUUAUAGAUAUAACGCAAUGGAAGUUGCUGUUCCAAAAGGGGAGGGAUGUUCUGACGUCUUGACAUUCUACAUAAAGAAAAGAAAAUGGUAGCAAAA